rnacentral:rRNA from 1 species
CAAAGGUAGCAUAAUCAUUAGUUUUUUAAUUGAAAACUAGAAUGAAGGGUUGGACAAAGGAAAAGCUGUCUUUAAACACAAAUAUUGAAAUUUACUUUUAAGUGAAAAGGCUUAAAUAAUUUAAAAAGACGAUAAGACCCUAUGAAGCUUUAUAUAUUAUUUAGAUUUGAUUGAUUAAAAAAAUAAAAAUUAGAAUUAUUUGUUAUGUUUUGUUGGGGAGACAUGAGUAUAAAUUUUGUAACUGCUUAAAAUAAAAACAAUAAUUAAUGUUUUAGGUUAUAAAUGAUCCUCUUUAGAGAUUAAAAGAUCAAGUUACUCUAGGGAUAACAGCGUCAUUUCUUUUGAGAGUUCAUAUCGAAAAAGAAGUUUGCGACCUCGAUGUUGAAUUAAAAUAUCUAUAUAGUGCAGCCGCUAUAAAAGAAGGUCUGUUCGACCUUUAAAUUUUUACAUGAUUUGAGUUCA